rnacentral:rRNA from 1 species
GACGGAGGAUGCAAGUGUUAUCCGGAACCACUGGGCGUAAAGCGUCUGUAGGUGGUUUAAAAAGUCCACUGUCAAAAAUUGAAGCUUAACUUCAAAGAUGCCGUGGAAACUUUUAAACUUGAGUAUGGUAGGGGUAGAGGGAAUUCCCGGUGUAGCGGUGAAAUGCGUAGAUAUCGGGAAGAACACCAGUGGCGAAAGCGCUCUACUGGGCCAUAACUGACACUGAGGGACGAAAGCUAGGGGAGCGAAAGGG